GACAGACAAUCGCGGCUGCAGAUGCCGAAAGGCAGCAGGUGAGGAAAGUCCGGGCUUCACAGGGCAGGAUGCCGGAUAACGUCCGGUGGAGGUGACUCCAAGGCCAGUGCAACAGAAAUAUACCGCAUUAGCAAUGAGCCAUGCAGUAUGAUAGCAGCAACAUUUGAGUUGUCUGUAUGGCUCAUUGCUAAUGUAAGGGUGGAAAGGCAGUGUAAGAGACUACCGCCUCUCUGGUAACAGCGAGGGCACAUGUAAACCCCAUCCGAAGCAAGACCGGAAGAAAGCAAUGUGGCUGCCCGUCACGCUUUAGGUAGGUCGCUUGAUCCCGGUGGUAACACCGGGGCUAGAUAGAUGAUUGUCCAACGACAUAACCCGGCUUAUCGUUUUGCUUGA
rnacentral:RNase_P_RNA from 1 species